GACGAACGCUGGCGGCGUGCUUAACACAUGCAAGUCGAACGAUGAAGCCGGAGCUUGCUCCGGUGGAUUAGUGGCGAACGGGUGAGUAACACGUGAGCAAUCUGCCCUUGACUCUGGGGUAACUGCGGGAAACUGUAGCUAAUACCGGAUACGACACCUUGGGGCAUCCCAGGGUGUGGAAAGAAUUUCGGUCAAGGAUGAGCUCGCGGCCUAUCAGCUAGUUGGUGAGGUAAUGGCUCACCAAGGCGACGACGGGUAGCCGGCCUGAGAGGGUGACCGGCCACACUGGAACUGAGACACGGUCCAGACUCCUACGGGAGGCAGCAGUGGGGAAUAUUGCACAAUGGGCGAAAGCCUGAUGCGGCAACGCCGCGUGAGGGAUGAAGGCCUUCGGGUUGUAAACCUCUUUCAGCAGGGAAGAAGCGAAAGUGACGGUACCUGCAGAAGAAGCACCGGCUAACUACGUGCCAGCCGCCGCCGUAA
rnacentral:rRNA from 1 species